GCGGACGUAGCUCAGUUGGUAGAGCAUCGGCUUCCCAAGCCGAGGGUCGUGGGUUCGAAUCCCAUCGUCCGCU
rnacentral:tRNA from 1 species